rnacentral:rRNA from 1 species
UACGGGGGGGGCAAGCGUUGUUCGGAAUUACUGGGCGUAAAGGGCUCGUAGGUGGCCAACUAAGUCAGACGUGAAAUCCCUCAGCUUAACUGGGGAACUGCGUCUGAUACUGGAUGGCUUGAGUUUGGGAGAGGGAUGCGGAAUUCCAGGUGUAGCGGUGAAAUGCGUAGAUAUCUGGAGGAACACCGGUGGCGAAGGCGGCUGCCUGGCCUUUAACUGACGCUGAGGCGCGAAAGCGUGGGGAGCGAACAGG